rnacentral:misc_RNA from 1 species
GUAUAUAGUUUAUAGGCACAAGGCCCAAUGAUACAUUCUGUUACAUUCUUUGGGGGUAUAUGAAAACAUAGGCCUGGAUAUGCAAAGAAAGCUGGCAUUGAAAAAGCACAGCAAUCCUCCCGACCGAGUUUGCCUCGGAAAGUGUUAUCCAAGUCUACAAGAGGUGCACAGGUGGAAAUAUAAAGAUGAUGGGCGUGCACAUGCCCCCGAGAGGACCAGCUACAACCACAUCAGGUUUAUUCAAUAAUGAUCCUUCCGCAGGUUCACCUACGGAAA